GUACCCGCCUGAACUUAAGCAUAUCAAUAAGCGGAGGGAAAAGAAACUAACAAGGAUUCCCCUAGUAACUGCGAGUGAAGCGGGAAAAGCUCAAAUUUUGAAUCUGGCGGUCCUCGAGGCCGUCCGAGUUGUAAUCUAGAGAAGUGUCUUCCAGUGCCAUGCCGUGUACAAGUCUCCUGGAAGGGAGCAUCAUAGAGGGUGAGAAUCCCGUCUGUCGACACGGAACGUUGCGUACUUUGUGAUGCACUCUCGACGAGUCGAGUUGUUUGGGAAUGCAGCUCUAAAUGGGUGGUAAAUUCCAUCUAAAGCUAAAUACAGGCGAGAGACCGAUAGCGAACAAGUACCGUGAGGGAAAGAUGAAAAGGACUUUGAAAAGAGAGUUAAACAGUACGUGAAAUUGCUGAAAGGGAAACGCUUGAUGUCAGUCGCGUCGGUCAGGAAUCAACCUUGCUCUCUUUGCUUGGCGGACUUCCUGGUCGACGGGUCAGCAUCAGUUUCGAUCCCGCCGUAGAAAGGCGAGAGUGAAUGUGGCACGCUUAGGUGUGUGUUUAUAGCCUCUCGUCCGAUGCGGCGGUCGGGACUGAGGAACUCAGCAACGUCGUUGCGUUGCUUAGGAUGCUGGCAUAAUGGCCUUAAGCGACCCGUCUUGAAACACGGACCAAGGAGUCUAACAUGCCUGCGAGUGUUCGGGUGUCAAAACUCGGUCGCGCAACGAAAGUGAAAGUCGAGACCUCUGUCGUGGAGGGCAUCGACGCCCGGACCGGAUGUCUUUCAGACGAUGGAUCUGCGGUAGAGCAUGCAUGUUGGGACCCGAAAGAUGGUGAACUAUGCCUGAAUAGGGUGAAGCCAGAGGAAACUCUGGUGGAAGCUCGUAGCGAUUCUGACGUGCAAAUCGAUCGUCGAAUUUGGGUAUAGGGGCGAAAGACUAAUCGAACCAUUCAAAUCGCC
rnacentral:rRNA from 1 species